rnacentral:rRNA from 1 species
CACACUAUCAUUAACUGAAUCCAUAGGUUAAUGAGGCGAACCGGGGGAACUGAAACAUCUAAGUACCCCGAGGAAAAGAAAUCAACCGAGAUUCCCCCAGUAGCGGCGAGCGAACGGGGAGGAGCCCAGAGCCUGAAUCAGUGUGUGUGUUAGUGGAAGCGUCUGGAAAGGCGCGCGAUACAGGGUGACAGCCCCGUACACAAAAAUGCACAUACUGUGAGCUCGAUGAGUAGGGCGGGACACGUGGUAUCCUGUCUGAAUAUGGGGGGACCAUCCUCCAAGGCUAAAUACUCCUGACUGACCGAUAGUGAACCAGUACCGUGAGGGAAAGGCGAAAAGAACCCCGGCGAGGGGAGUGAAAAAGAACCUGAAACCGUGUACGUACAAGCAGUGGGAGCCUCUUAAUGGGGUGACUGCGUACCUUUUGUAUAAUGGGUCAGCGACUUAUAUUCUGUAGCAAGGUUAACCGAAUAGGGGAGCCGAAGGGAAACCGAGUCUUAACUGGGCGUUAAGUUGCAGGGUAUAGACCCGAAACCCGGUGAUCUAGCCAUGGGCAGGUUGAAGGUUGGGUAACACUAACUGGAGGACCGAACCGACUAAUGUUGAAAAAUUAGCGGAUGACUUGUGGCUGGGGGUGAAAGGCCAAUCAAACCGGGAGAUAGCUGGUUCUCCCCGAAAGCUAUUUAGGUAGCGCCUCGUGAAUUCAUCUCCGGGGGUAGAGCACUGUUUCGGCAAGGGGGUCAUCCCGACUUACCAACCCGAUGCAAACUGCGAAUACCGGAGAAUGUUAUCACGGGAGACACACGGCGGGUGCUAACGUCCGUCGUGAAGAGGGAAACAACCCAGACCGCCAGCUAAGGUCCCAAAGUCAUGGUUAAGUGGGAAACGAUGUGGGAAGGCCCAGACAGCCAGGAUGUUGGCUUAGAAGCAGCCAUCAUUUAAAGAAAGCGUAAUAGCUCACUGGUCGAGUCGGCCUGCGCGGAAGAUGUAACGGGGCUAAACCAUGCACCGAAGCUGCGGCAGCGACGCUGAUGCGUUGUUGGGUAGGGGAGCGUUCUGUAAGCCUGUGAAGGUGGCCUGUGAGGGUUGCUGGAGGUAUCAGAAGUGCGAAUGCUGACAUAAGUAACGAUAAAGCGGGUGAAAAGCCCGCUCGCCGGAAGACCAAGGGUUCCUGUCCAACGUUAAUCGGGGCAGGGUGAGUCGACCCCUAAGGCGAGGCCGAAAGGCGUAGUCGAUGGGAAACAGGUUAAUAUUCCUGUACUUGGUGUUACUGCGAAGGGGGGACGGAGAAGGCUAUGUUGGCCGGGCGACGGUUGUCCCGGUUUAAGCGUGUAGGCUGGUUUUCCAGGCAAAUCCGGAAAAUCAAGGCUGAGGCGUGAUGACGAGGCACUACGGUGCUGAAGCGACAAAUGCCCUGCUUCCAGGAAAAGCCUCUAAGCAUCAGGUAACAU